GAUGAACGCUGGCGGCGUGCUUAACACAUGCAAGUCGAACGAGAAGUGAAGACGGAAACCUUCGGGCGGAAGGCUUUAUUUCGAGUGGCGGACGGGUGAGUAACGCGUGGGUAACCUGCCUCAUACAGGGGGAUAACAGUUGGAAACGACUGUUAAUACCGCAUAAGACCACAGCACCGCAUGGUGCGGGGGUAAAAAGUCCGGUGGUAUGAGAUGGACCCGCGUUCGAUUAGCCGGUUGGCGGGGUAACGGCACACCAAAGCGACGAUCGAUAGCCGAGCUGAGAGGAUGACAGACCACAUUGGGACUGAGACACAGCCCAAACUCCUGCGGGAGGGAGCAGUGGGGAAUAUUGCACAAUGGGGGAAGCAGUGAUGCAGCGACGCCGCGUGAGUGAAGAAGUAUUUCGGUAUGUAAAGCUCUAUCAGCAGAGAAGAAAAUGACGGUACCUGAGUAAGAAGCCCCGGCUAACUACGUG
rnacentral:rRNA from 1 species